UACGUAGGCAGCAAGCGUUGUUCGGAAUUACUGGGCGUAAAGCGUGUGUAGGCGGUUAGGUAAGUUUGGUGUGAAAUCUCCCGGCUUAACCGGGAGGGUGCGCCGAAGACUGCCUGGCUGGAGUGCGGAAGAGGAGAGUGGAAUUCCCAGUGUAGCGGUGAAAUGCGUAGAUAUCGGGAGGAACACCUGUGGUGUAGACGGCUCUCUGGACCGCAACUGACGCUGAAACACGAAAGCGUGGGUAGCAAACAGG
rnacentral:rRNA from 1 species